UAAUAUAAUAUAUUAUUUGUAAGUAUAUUAUUUCCUGUGCGACGUGUCCAUUAUACGGGUCUUCUGUUGGUGCGCUGCUGCUUCUACCUCAUCGGGGUAGCUCCAGUCCGACGAUAUAAUAUUAUUGUUACAUAGACAUCGGCCGUGUGCAGUACGCUGGACGGUUAUUCGUUUCCAAUCGAAUUUUCUUACGACGGUAAUCCCACCAACAGACGUUUUUUCUGCCUACAUUUUUUAUUUUCACUCCGCGAAUCUGGUCGUGAUAAAUUGUACGUUUUUUUUUUACUCGAUAACUAUACGCACUAUUCGUCUACACCAUGAACUCGUCAAAGAAUUCGUCCAGCAAUAAUAACAACAAUAGUAUGCAGGACUACUACAUAAAACGGCAAAAGAACAACGAGGCGGCCAAGACUAGCAGAUUAAAGAAAAAGGAACAAGAAAUGGAGAUCGCUAAGAAGAAGCAAAAACUCGAGAUUACUUACGUAAAAUUGCAAAAACAAAUAAACCGUAUGCAAUCGGUCCGUGCUUAAAAAUGCAAUUUAUUCAAGAACAUACGCAAGUCCCCAAAGCUGUCGGUAACACUAGAUCACAUUACUGGAAGUAUAAAAAUAAGUAAAUAUGGCGUUCCCUAGUCAUAUGGUUUUAUUAUUAUUAAUUUUAAUUUUAAUUGAUUAUAUGUACACAAAUAUUUAUAAUAAUAAGUAGGCAUAGAAAGCAUGUGCACAACUAUCAUGUCCAUAACGUUUUUAUUUUAUAUUAACAUACAAAUACACGCGUGUUAUAAAUUACAAAAUUUAGUGUACAAUGCUUCUAAAUUCUAAUCACAGCUUAUACACAUUGCACUUAUUUUUUUAUUUUUUUUUUCUUCAUAUUUAUAAAUUAUAAUAUUAUUAAUUAUUGUUUAAUCACUUCUUAAGUUAACACUUCUUAGUAUAAUAAUUUGACGUACCUAUUGUAUUGUUGUGAAAUUUAAUUGAAAAAUACACCUAUAUAUUUUAAUUAUUUGAUAAUCUUGUAUAACUGUAAGUUUUUAUUUAUUUUUUUAUGCAUUAAAUAAAAUAAGUUUUUCAUUUCUA